UACGGAGGAUCCAAGCGUUAUCCGGAUUUAUUGGGUUUAAAGGGUGCGUAGGUGGACCUAUAAGUCAGAAGUGAAAUCUUGCCGCUUAACGGUAAAACUGCUUUUGAAACUGUAGGUCUUGAAUUUAGAAGAGGUAGGCGGAAUGAGUAAUGUAGCGGUGAAAUGCAUAGAUAUUACUCAGAACACCAAUUGCGAAGGCA
rnacentral:rRNA from 1 species